rnacentral:rRNA from 1 species
UACAGAUGUCUCAAGCGUUGUUCGGAUUCAUUGGGCGUAAAGGGUGCGUAGGUGGCGCCGUAAGUCAGGUGUGAAAUUUCGGAGCUUAACUCCGAAACUGCAUUUGAUACUGCGGUGCUUGAGGACUGGAGAGGAGACUGGAAUUUACGGUGUAGCAGUGAAAUGCGUAGAGAUCGUAAGGAAGACCAGUGGCGAAGGCGGGUCUCUGGACAGUUCCUGACACUGAGGCACGAAGGCCAGGGGAGCAAACGGG